rnacentral:rRNA from 1 species
CGAGCGAACGGACGAGAAGCUUGCUUCUCUGAUGUUAGCGGCGGACGGGUGAGUAACACGUGGAUAACCUACCCAUAAGACUGGGAUAACUUCGGGAAACCGGAGCUAAUACCGGAUGAUAUUUUGAACCGCAUGGUUCAAAAGUGAAAGACGGUCUUGCUGUCACUUAUAGAUGGAUCCGCGCUGCAUUAGCUAGUUGGUAAGGUAACGGCUUACCAAGGCAACGAUGCAUAGCCGACCUGAGAGGGUGAUCGGCCACACUGGAACUGAGACACGGUCCAGACUCCUACGGGAGGCAGCAGUAGGGAAUCUUCCGCAAUGGGCGAAAGCCUGACGGAGCAACGCCGCGUGAGUGAUGAAGGUCUUCGGAUCGUAAAACUCUGUUAUUAGGGAAGAACAUAUGUGUAAGUAACUGUGCACAUCUUGACGGUACCUAAUCAGAAAGCCACGGCUAACUACGUGCCAGCAGCCGCGGUAAUACGUAGGUGGCAAGCGUUAUCCGGAAUUAUUGGGCGUAAAGCGCGCGUAGGCGGUUUUUUAAGUCUGAUGUGAAAGCCCACGGCUCAACCGUGGAGGGUCAUUGGAAACUGGAAAACUUGAGUGCAGAAGAGGAGAGUGGAAUUCCAUGUGUAGCGGUGAAAUGCGCAGAGAUAUGGAGGAACACCAGUGGCGAAGGCGACUUUCUGGUCUGUAA